GCCUACGACCAUAUCACCCUGAAUGCGCCCGAUCUCGUCUGAUCUCAGAAGCUAAGCAGGGUCGAGCCUGGUUAGUACUUGGAUAGGAGACUGCCUGAGAAUACCAGGUGUUGUAGGCU
rnacentral:rRNA from 1 species